UACGUAGGGUGCAAGCGUUGUCCGGAAUUAUUGGGCGUAAAGAGCUCGUAGGCGGUCUGUCGCGUCGGCUGUGAAAUCCCGGAGCUCAACUCCGGGUCUGCAGUCGAUACGGGCAAACUGGAGUACUGCAGGGGAGACUGGAAUUCCUGGUGUAGCGGUGAAAUGCGCAGAUAUCAGGAGGAACACCGGUGGCGAAGGCGGUCUGCUGGGCAGUUGCUGACACUGGAGGCGCGACAGCGUGGGGAGCAAACAGG
rnacentral:rRNA from 1 species